rnacentral:lncRNA from 1 species
CAGACAUCCUCAUUGAGCUGCAGCUGAUCCAGUCAGGAGGUUUCUUCCCCUUUCCCUGCCAGAGAGUAUCAUUUCUUCAGAUGUGCUGGCAAGCUGCUCAGCUGAAAUGCUUCAAUGGUUCAACAGUCACUAAGCAACUUUAGAUGGGAUAAACUCAAUUCCAAGCUCAGUAACUUUGGCAGGAUACCUCAAUGUUUACCCCCUCAUUGCCUUUUAAAAACAAGCCUCCAGAAAGCUCCUGGCUCUGUGCUGCUCUCUGCUUACAUACAUUGUUGAUUUUCCUCAGUGGCAGUUCCACCUUGGAAGUCUUCAUGCCUGCCCAUCCCUCUGCACUUCUUUCUCAAUUGCAAGUUUGUGAUUGCGUUAGAACGAUCGAGACACUGGUAUUGGCACACUAAAGGGGCUGCUUUGGCUUGGGAAUUGAGUGGCUGUGAGCGGAGAGGACCACUAAUGCUGUAAGCUGACGCUGCUCAGAAAAGUAUGCGUAAGGCCAUGAUCGCUGGAGUAAUUUCUGAAGAUGUCGUCCCGUUAAUUUGCUCCAACCCUUUCUGAGAGAUUACUAUGCCUCUGUUAGGGUGGUAAAAGCAAAUGUGUGCCUGUUUCUCAAACUGCUUCACCUGGCAACCUGGCACGUUGUUGAAACUGCCGCUGAUCUGAAACUAAACUAGAAGAUUGGACUGUCAACUGUUGUCAUUCUCCAAGUUCUUCUAGCUGACAGGUGAGGUAGGCAAUAAGGGUUAGGGAUCUUUUAAAUUAUCCUGGUAUGAGUGGUUGCUGUUUUGUG